rnacentral:pre_miRNA from 2 species
UGUGGGAGCGAGAUAGGGACUCACUGUGCUUUUAAAACAGCUUUUUCCCCAAAUUCAAGGAAAAAGUUCCAACAAGUCAGUCUUUUUCUCUCUCCUAUA